CCACUGCAUUUCGGAAGUCAAGCACACUUCCGGAACGGAUGAAGUUUGGUGCUUCUCCCCCCCCACCCCCAGUUUAUUCAAUUUAUUCUGUGUUUUCGUUUUUGAGGCUUUUUCAAUUAAUUUUGUGACUGUGUGGAACCCAGUUCAGCUACUGAUUGAUUGAUUGAUUGAUUGAUUGUGUGACUGUGGAGAUGGAUAAGAGCCCCCCAUCCAAACAAUGACUAUCAUCAGUGCAGGUAAGAAUUUUUUUUUUUUAAUUUUUAUCAUCCACAAUACUGUCUUAUUUAUUUUAUACUACAGUUCAUUGAUUAUUGCUUUCAUUUUAUGGAUCAAUGGUCUCGUUAGAUAGUAAAAUUCAUGUUAAAUUGCUGUUUUAGGGAUUGUUUUUAAAAGUCUGGAACGGAUUAAUCCGUUUUGCAUUACUUUCUAUGGGAAAGCGCACCUUGGCCUUGGAACGCUUUGGUUUUGGAAAGGACUUCUGGAACAGAUUAAGUAUGAGAACCAAGGUACCACUGUAUAUGCAUUCUGAUGCACACCUUACCCUAGUAUGUGCAUUUUCUUACACAUUACUUGGCAUGGCAAAAUUCAGAUAAGUGCAAAUUUCAAUAGGCGACUGUGUUUCAUGGCACAUUUUUUUUGUCAGAAUGCGUAUAUUAGGUAGCCUCACCUUUAAAUGAGGACUGGUUCAAAAUUUUGCCCGCUCCUGUUUCUGCUCUCAGGUAUUUCCAACUCUCAUUGUAAUCAGUCAAAUGACGAUAUGCUUGUUGCGCUUCGGAUGCCAAGUCUGAUAUCAUCAGUGUUGGGGACAGCAGGGAUUACUGAAUAUGCAAUGAUGAAUAUUCUAUUGAAAAUUGGUCAUAAUUACCUUGGGCUGCAAUAACCCUUAACCUGCAAACUUUUACUCAUAGAUUAAGAGCACCUUAGAGAAUGUUCUCCACUUUUCCCUGCAUUUUACAUCCUACACCAAGGUCUCAUCUCCUUCAUUUUUAAAGUGGCUCUACACUACAUUAACCUAAUUCCCUUGGUUCCUCUAAAUAGUUGUAGAAGAUAAUUUCCUGUUCUUCAUAACCUUCUUAGCUGUCCUACUCUGUACUUACACGUUUGUGUCAGCAAUUAAACUCUUACAUGCCCUCAUUAAUGCACUGAACCUUGUCUCCAUUCCUCUAUCCCUCACUUCAUUCUGCUAUGUGGUAUAAAUAUGGCUCUAUUGUUCAUUAGCAUACGGCCCCCUUAAUCCCUCAAAGAAGGUACAGGUGUGGGUAUAUUCUGCCCACUGCCCCACCCCUGUUGCAAAUGAGACCCACUUGAACUUCUGUGCCAUGCCUUUGAAACAGCAGUCCUGUUAAACUUCACGAUAAUUCCGAAAAGGAAGGGAGGUGGAAAAGACUUCCCUUAAAAAAUUCCAAGCACAUGUAUUUACUUUUAUCUCACAAACGGCUAUCAUGGCACGGCUUUGUCACUG